GCGACCUGAGAUCCCGAAUUUGGCUUGGUUGAGCCAAAUCUCGCCCUACCGCGUCGGUCUACGGAACCGAAGGUCACAGGUUCGAAUCCUGUCGGGCGCG
rnacentral:tRNA from 1 species